rnacentral:rRNA from 1 species
AGAGUUUGAUCCUGGCUCAGAGUGAACGCUGGCGGCGUGCCUAAUACAUGCAAGUCGAACGAUGAAGCUUCUAGCUUGCUAGAGUGCUGAUUAGUGGCGCACGGGUGAGUAACGCAUAGGUCAUGUGCCUCUUAGUUUGGGAUAGCCAUUGGAAACGAUGAUUAAUACCAGAUACUCCCUACGGGGGAAAGAUUUAUCGCUAAGAGAUCAGCCUAUGUCCUAUCAGCUUGUUGGUAAGGUAAUGGCUUACCAAGGCUAUGACGGGUAUCCGGCCUGAGAGGGUGAACGGACACACUGGAACUGAGACACGGUCCAGACUCCUACGGGAGGCAGCAGUAGGGAAUAUUGCUCAAUGGGGGAAACCCUGAAGCAGCAACGCCGCGUGGAGGAUGAAGGUUUUAGGAUUGUAAACUCCUUUUGUUAGAGAAGAUAAUGACGGUAUCUAACGAAUAAGCACCGGCUAACUCCGUGCCAGCAGCCGCGGUAAUACGGAGGGUGCAAGCGUUACUCGGAAUCACUGGGCGUAAAGAGCGCGUAGGCGGGAUAGUCAGUCAGGUGUGAAAUCCUAUGGCUUAACCAUAGAACUGCAUUUGAAACUACUAUUCUAGAGUGUGGGAGAGGUAGGUGGAAUUCUUGGUGUAGGGGUAAAAUCCGUAGAGAUCAAGAGGAAUACUCAUUGCGAAGGCGACCUGCUGGAACAUUACUGACGCUGAUUGCGCGAAAGCGUGGGGAGCAAACAGGAUUAGAUACCCUGGUAGUCCACGCCCUAAACGAUGGAUGCUAGUUGUUGGAGGGCUUAGUCUCUCCAGUAAUGCAGCUAACGCAUUAAGCAUCCCGCCUGGGGAGUACGGUCGCAAGAUUAAAACUCAAAGGAAUAGACGGGGACCCGCACAAGCGGUGGAGCAUGUGGUUUAAUUCGAAGAUACACGAAGAACCUUACCUAGGCUUGACAUUGAGAGAAUCCGCUAGAAAUAGUGGAGUGUCUAGCUUGCUAGACCUUGAAAACAGGUGCUGCACGGCUGUCGUCAGCUCGUGUCGUGAGAUGUUGGGUUAAGUCCCGCAACGAGCGCAACCCCCUUUCUUAGUUGCUAACAGGUCAUGCUGAGAACUCUAAGGAUACUGCCUCCGUAAGGAGGAGGAAGGUGGGGACGACGUCAAGUCAUCAUGGCCCUUACGCCUAGGGCUACACACGUGCUACAAUGGGGUGCACAAAGAGAAGCAAUACUGCGAAGUGGAGCCAAUCUUCAAAACGCCUCUCAGUUCGGAUUGUAGGCUGCAACUCGCCUGCAUGAAGCUGGAAUCGCUAGUAAUCGCAAAUCAGCCAUGUUGCGGUGAAUACGUUCCCGGGUCUUGUACUCACCGCCCGUCACACCAUGGGAGUUGUGUUUGCCUUAAGUCAGGAUGCUAAACUAGCUACUGCCCACGGCACACACAGCGACUGGGGUGAAGUCGUAACAAGGUAACCGUAGGUGAACCUGCGGUUGGAUCACCU